AGUGGCAAUAAAUCCACAUGAAGAACCUCAUUGUACUAAAAAAAGUCAAAUAGCAUCUACCAGUUAACGGAACAUCCAUCUCCAGGUUUAGACCUCCACAUUGUCUCCAGGAUGGUGAGAAAGAGAUGGUGGAGACCCUCUAGAAAUUAAACUGACAAUGAAAACGUUAAAAUCACAAAGAAUUAAACAUUGCUGCACCGCAGCCCACUACAAAACCUUGACGGCACACACUUCUCUUGUUUUUUUAAGAGGUAGCCGCACACACUUUUUUUAAAAGGUACAGCAACAUAUGAAUUUAUAUAUGUAGGGUUUUGACUCUUCACCGACUUA
rnacentral:lncRNA from 1 species